CAGCAGCCACGGUAAGACAGAGGAUGCAAGCGUUAUCCGGAAUGAUUGGGCGUAAAGCGUCUGUAGGUGGCUUUUCAAGUCCGCCGUCAAAUCCCAGGGCUCAACCCUGGACAGGCGGUGGAAACUACCAAGCUGGAGUACGGUAGGGGCAGAGGGAAUUUCCGGCGGAGCGGUGAAAUGCGUUGAGAUCGGAAAGAACGCCAACGGCGAAAGCACUCUGCUGGGCCGACACUGACACUGAGAGACGAAAGCUAGGGGAGCAAAUGGGAUUAGAUACCCGGGUAGUCCCUGUCUCUUAUAC
rnacentral:rRNA from 1 species